rnacentral:rRNA from 1 species
CGCGUAGGCGGCUUGAUAAGUCGGGGGUGAAAGCCUGUGGCUCAACCACAGAAUUGCCUUCGAUACUGUCGGGCUUGAGACCGGAAGAGGUAAGUGGAACUGCGAGUGUAGAGGUGAAAUUCGUAGAUAUUCGCAAGAACACCAGUGGCGAAGGCGGCUUACUGGUCCGGUUCUGACGCUGAGGCGCGAAAGCGUGGGGAGCAAACA